AUUGAACGCUGGCGGCAGGCCUAACACAUGCAAGUCGAGCGGAUGAAGGGAGCUUGCUCCUGGAUUCAGCGGCGGACGGGUGAGUAAUGCCUAGGAAUCUGCCUGGUAGUGGGGGAUAACGUCCGCAAACGGGCGCUAAUACCGCAUACGUCCUGAGGGAGAAAGUGGGGGAUCUUCGGACCUCACGCUAUCAGAUGAGCCUAGGUCGGAUUAGCUAGUUGGUGGGGUAAAGGCCUACCAAGGCGACGAUCCGUAACUGGUCUGAGAGGAUGAUCAGUCACACUGGAACUGAGACACGGUCCAGACUCCUACGGGAGGCAGCAGUGGGGAAUAUUGGACAGUAGGCGAAAGCCUGAUCCAGCCAUGCCGCGUGUGUGAAGAAGGUCUUCGGAUUGUAAAGCACUUUAAGUUGGGAGGAAGGGCAGUAAGUUAAUACCUUGCUGUUUUGACGGUACCAACAGAAUAAGCACCGGCUAACUUCGUG
rnacentral:rRNA from 1 species